ensembl:lncRNA
CUGUUUCCUAGUUCACACCCAGAAGCCAUGAUGCUUCGAUUUUGGGGGUGGGGCUCCAGAGGUAAGUUCUAUAAAAGGACUCUGGGUGGAAGUGACUGUUCACUCGUCUGACUCUUUCCUCCUGCAGCUUCCUCCAGGUCCUCCCUGAUACACUGAACCAUGGCAUCCACAAAGUACACUGCUUCUGAGAAACAGCUCAAUGCCAUUAUUGAAGUCUACCAUAAGUAUUCCCGAAAGUCAGGGAAUGAUGAUGCUCUGGAAAAAAAAGAGUUUGAAGGAUUAAUUAAGGAAGAGGCCCCUGAGUUCUUUGAAUAUUUGAAAAAGAAAAACAUCUCUCUGGAAGCUGUGUUCAAGAAAGCUGAUUUGGACCAUGACACGCAUAUGUUCUUUCCUGAGUUUGUGCUUGUGUUGGCCUUGAUAGCCAUUGAAAUCCAUGACAAAUACCACCGAGAUCAUGGCCCAGAAGGCCCAGACGGCCCAGAAGGUCCUGGCCACCAUGGUCAUGGCCACACACAUGGUCACCACCAUUGAGAUUACAGCUGGAAUUAGCUAAUCUUUGGAGACCCAGAAUGGAAAACCAUUGGAACACUUAGUCCCUUGACUAGUUUCUAGAUACUAAUGUAGACUCAAUAAAAAGCUCUCUUUUAAUUGAUCUAGUCUCUGU